GCAAACUUGGUCAUUUAGAGGAAGUAAAAGUCGUAACAAGGUUUCCGUAGGUGAACCUGCGGAAGGAUCAUUAGUGAUUGCCAUCUUGGCUUAUAACUAUAUCCAUCUACACCUGUGAACUGUUUGAUUGAAUCUCACGAUUCAAUUCUUUACAAACGUUGUGUAAUGAACGUCAUUAGAUCAUAACAAAAAAAACUUUUAACAACGGAUCUCUUGGCUCUCGCAUCGAUGAAGAACGCAGC
rnacentral:misc_RNA from 1 species